rnacentral:rRNA from 1 species
UACGAAGGGGGCUAGCGUUGUUCGGAAUUACUGGGCGUAAAGGGUUUGUAGGUGGCUUGUUAAGUCAGACGUGAAAUCCCUCAGCUUAACUGGGGAACUGCGUCUGAUACUGGCGAGCUUGAGUGCAGGAGAGGAACGCGGAAUUCCAGGUGUAGCGGUGAAAUGCGCAGAUAUCAGGAGGAACACCGGUGGCGAAGGCGGUUCUCUGGGCAUUACCUGACGCUGAGGAGCGAAAGUGUGGGGAGCGAACAGG